rnacentral:rRNA from 1 species
CAGUAGCGGCGAGUGAAGCGGCAAAAGCUCAAAUUUGAAAUCUGGCGUCUUUGGCGUCCGAGUUGUAAUUUGAAGAAGGUAUCUUUGGGCCCGGCUCUUGUCUAUGUUCCUUGGAACAGGACGUCACAGAGGGUGAGAAUCCCGUGCGAUGAGAUGACCCGGGUCUGUGUAAAGUUCCUUCGACGAGUCGAGUUGUUUGGGAAUGCAGCUCUAAGUGGGUGGUAAAUUCCAUCUAAAGCUAAAUAUUGGCGAGAGACCGAUAGCGAACAAGUACAGUGAUGGAAAGAUGAAAAGAACUUUGAAAAGAGAGUGAAAAAGUACGUGAAAUUGUUGAAAGGGAAGGGCUUGAGAUCAGACUUGGUAUUUUGCAUGCUGCUCUCUCGGGGGCGGCCGCUGCGGUUUACCGGGCCAGCAUCGGUUUGGAGCGGCAGGAUAAUGGCGGAGGAAUGUGGCACGGCUUCUGCUGUGUGUUAUAGCCUCUGACGAUACUGCCAGCCUAGACCGAGGACUGCGGUUUUUACCUAGGAUGUUGGCAUAAUGAUCUUAAGUCGCCCGUC